UCCUGCCGUGAGGGGGCCACUGCCCCCCGGCCCGCCUGGCCGCCGCAGCCCUGCGCCUCUCCGGCGGUGGGUUCCCUCGGAGCGACAGCGCGCCUCCCGCCCUGCCGGGGCUGCUCCGCGCCGGUGCUUUCUUGGAUAGUUCUUAAAUGUAAUGGGUUUUGUUGAUAGCAACUUGAUCACCCAGCCCUACUGAGCAAGUUCACUUCUGCAGGUAUCCUGAAAAGUUUUACAAGGUGCAGCAAUUCACAGAGAAAAUAAUGUUUAAGAUGAUACACAUAAUUGAAAAAGAUAAAGAUGAUCACAUCAAAAAACUGGACAGGAGUACGGAAACUGACUACAGAUUAAGGAUGCUUGGACAAGAACAUUGUGAAAAGCAGCAUGGUACAGUGUGCUAGCCUCUCUAGCUAUGCAGAACAACAUACAGGUAUGUUAAUUACUAAGUGGCUGAGGGUGUAAGCAUUCCUCUCUCAGUUUCUUUGGCUAACACACCUAUGGUGGCUGCCACAGAGCACGAGAAAAUCCUUAUAUUCCUCAUAAAAUUAGUAAUCUUUCUACUUUCAGCACAGUUAACAAGCUUUCUGAUGUAAGUCCACAAAACCAAGACUUCAUAUCACACUAGGGCCCAAGGUAGUGGCUCAAUGCUUGUGUAUUGAAGGAAUUCAAUAAAACCCAGAAGCUGCUCAUAUCUGCUGAUUUGAUCAUGUUGCUUCACAGCAUGGGAGAUUGCAAUUUGAUCUGCUUUUCAAAGAGACUACAAGAACUAUGCUAAUGCAAACUACACGGAAGGACCAAUUGUUAAUAUAAUUGCCAAACUUUGCUACUUCAGAGGCAUAGAAAAUUAAAUCAGAUUCCAAGUUAUUUUUGUUGUGCAAGGUGCUGCCCUUAUUGUAUUAGUUACAGCAGAAUAUAACAUUGGAAAUGCACAUAUAUCAAAGCAGAACUAAGAGAGCUAUAAAUAUGAGUAUUUAGAAAAUAGCAUGAUAUGCAAGAUGGGAAAGACAUUGUGAUUUUUAUCUAAAAGUUGUCAAUAAAUGAGAAACAAUAUUGACAUAUAAGUCGGAACCAUCUAACCUCCUUAUGUGACAGAAUGAGUUCUGUGGGUCUCAGCCCUGAACAUGGUGCACCACGGCUACACUGCC